AUACGGAGGGUGCAAGCGUUACUCGGAAUCACUGGGCGUAAAGCGCGCGCAGGCGGUUAUUUAAGUUGGAUGUGAAAGCCUACGGCUCAACCGUAGAACUGCAUCCAAAACUAUUUAGCUAGAGUGUGGGAGAGGAAGAUGGAAUUAGUUGUGUAGGGGUAAAAUCCGUAGAGAUAACUAGGAAUACCAAAAGCGAAGGCAAUCUUCUGGAACACUACUAACGCUGAGGCGCGAAGGCGUGGGGAGCAAACAGGAUUAGAAACCCCGGUAGUCC
rnacentral:rRNA from 1 species